rnacentral:rRNA from 1 species
GAUGAACGCUAGCUACAGGCUUAACACAUGCAAGUCGAGGGGUAACGAGAGGAAAGCUUGCUUUCCUUGUCGACGACCGGCGCACGGGUGAGUAACGCGUAUCCAACCUGCCCCCAACUAGGGAAUAACCUUGCGAAAGUAAGACUAAUACCCUAUAAUUUCCUCAGAUGUCAUCUGACGAGGAAUAAAGAUUUAUCGGUUGUGGAUGGGGACGCGUCUGAUUAGCCUGUUGGCGGGGUAACGGCCCACCAAGGCAACGAUCAGUAGGGGUUCUGAGAGGAAGGUCCCCCACAUUGGAACUGAGACACGGUCCAAACUCCUACGGGAGGCAGCAGUGAGGAAUAUUGGUCAAUGGGCGAAAGCCUGAACCAGCCAAGUAGCGUGCAGGAUGACGGCCCUAUGGGUUGUAAACUGCUUUUAUACAGGAAUAAAGUUAGCCACGUGUGGUUAUUUGUAGGUACUGUAUGAAUAAGGACCGGCUAAUUCCGUGCCAGCCGCCGCCGUAA